AUUUAACAAACUGAGUACAAAAUGUUGUCUUUUUGAGAUUUUUGAAGAAUGUUAUUUAACAAAAACACAAAAAAAACAUUAAUAUUCCAAGAUAUUCGAAAAUGUGCCUAAUGUGGAUGCUGUGGGUCCACUUGGAACGAGCUGCCUGUUUCUCCAAGUGCUGCGCUCAGUGUGUGAAGUAGUGUAGGUAAAUCAGUUUGGGGAGCCGGCGUCGAAACGGGUUUGCUUCUCGUUUGUGCUACACCUUUUGCGCCUGUUCCUUGUUCCGAUCCGAUCCGUUUCGAACCGAUCCCCAUUCGAGAACGUGUUUCAAGGCUUUUCGACCGGGGUGUGUAACCAGUAGCAGAAGUGGAAAGCCGAAAACCGAAAAGCGAGGAAGGGAGCGGGAGUGGGAAAAGGAGGUCGGUCGCCAAAUGAAAAGAUCGCGGCCAGACAAAAGAAACUGGCAUAAGGGAUUUGGAUAGGGAUUGGCCCGAUAGCGGGUCUGGAGAAAGAGACGGCGGAAGGAAGAGAAAGAGCGCGAGCGUGUGGAAUAGGUCCCACCCCAAUCUAAUUGGAAAUAACGGCAGGAGCAAGACGAUCGCUUCUGCGCACGCGAUCGCACGCGAGAGACCGGCUAAUGCAUAUAAAUUGGCAUAAAUCAAGCAAAAGUCACGUCGAUCCGUGUCCGAAACCCAAAAGCCAAAAGCUAAAAGCCAAACCAGUUUCGAAAAUAGAGUAAUACAGAGAAUAAAUUCCAGAUCAGAUCAUCGCAGUGACGUA